GGGUCGAUGGCGUAGCUGGUUAUCGCAUCUGUCUAACAUCGUGAGCUUGCGAUUGUACAACCCCACAGAAGGUCCUCAGUUCGAACCUGGGUCGACUCA